rfam:Myotis lucifugus cont2.20340, whole genome shotgun sequence.
GGUAGUUCUCAAGUGACACACCCUGGAAUCGGGCUCCCUCCCCUCUGGUUCCAGGUGUGUCACCUGAGAACCGCA